rnacentral:rRNA from 1 species
UGAAACACGGACCAAGGAGGUAACAUGUACGCGAGUCACUGGGCAUUACGAAACCCGAGGGCGCAGUGAAAGUUAAGGCCUGGCUUCUAAUCAGGCUAUGGUGAGAUCCUGCCGUUUCUCACGCGUGGUACCACCAAGCAUACAGCGGUGGGCGCAUCACCGGCCCGUCCUACGGCAACUGUUUUCGAACAAUAAUCAGCCGGGGUGGAGCAUGAGCGUACACGUUGCGACCCGAAAGAUGGUGAACUAUGCUUGUGCAGGUAGAAGCCAGAGGAAACUCUGGUGGAGGACCGCAACGAUUCUGACGUGCAAAUCGAUCGCCAGACAUGAGUAUAGGGGCGAAAGACUAAUC